rnacentral:lncRNA from 14 species
CUGAAACUAAAGAUCCAACGAGAGUGCAACCACAUUUAAAAAAGUGUUUUGAAGGAAUUGCCAAGUUAAAGUUUACCGUUGAACAAGAUGUAAUUAGUAUGAUAUCUAGCGAAGAAGAAAUUGUACACUUAUCAAUGGUUGUAGACACUGCAAGAGCUAGAGGUCAAGUUGAAAAAUGGCUUG